rnacentral:rRNA from 1 species
UACGUAGGGUGCGAGCGUUGUCCGGAAUUAUUGGGCGUAAAGAGCUUGUAGGCGGUUUGUCGCGUCUGCCGUGAAAAUCCGGGGCUCAACCCCGGACUUGCGGUGGGUACGGGCAGACUAGAGUGUGGUAGGGGAGACUGGAAUUCCUGGUGUAGCGGUGAAAUGCGUAGAUAUCAGGAGGAACACCUGUGGUGUAGACAGCUUACUGGACCACUUCUGACGCUGAGACACGAAAGCGUGGGUAGCAAACAGG